GCAUUAUUUAUUUUUUUUAAUUUGAGGUUUCAUAUGACUUUAAACCUAAUUUAGUCAAAUUGGUAACUUUAUUGUAGAUGAAGAAAGUGAAGAAGAAAUUGCAGAAAUAUUUAGACCAGAAAAGAAAGGAAGAAGAUAUGUGCAAUGGAGUGAGAAAGAUUCGAGCAUUGUAAAAUCCUACUUCAAACAAUACAUCCAGGAUGUUUCUAAAGAAGGUGCAAAAGGGAGAAUGCCAGGUUUUAAGGACAUACAAAAAUUUAUGAAGUCAAACCCUAUGGUAAUGGCCCAAGAGAGUGACUUUUUGACAAGAAGAGAUAUCAUCAAAUCAAAAAUAUUUAAUGAAAGAAAAAAGACCAGGAGCAAUUAUGACAAGAGGAGAAAGCAAUUUAAUUGUUAAGACAUAUGUUGUGCCAACAGACUGUUCCUCAGCAUGACAGAGAUAUGGUAUACCUGUAAACUAUUCUUCUGCCUGUCACACACAAAGAUGUGGUGUACCUGUAGACUGUACUUAGACUAACACAGAGAUAUGGUGAACCAAUAGACUGUUCCUCAGACUAACACAGAGAUAUGGUGAACCUGUAGACUGUUCUUCAGCCUGUCACAGAAAUUUAGUGUACCUGUAGACUGUUCCUCAGACUAACACAGAGAUAAGGUGAACCUGUAGACUGUUCUUCAGCUUGUCACAAGGAUGUUGUGUACCUGUAGACUGUUCUUCAGCCUGACACAGAGAUACGGUGUAGAUAUAGACUGUUCCUCAGACUAACACAGAGAUAAGAUGAACAUGUAGACUGUUCCUCGUACUUACACAGAGAUAUGGUGAACCGGUAGACUGUUCCUCAUACUUACACAGAGAUAUGGUAAACCUUUACACUGUUCCUCGUACUAACACAGAGAUAUGGUGAACCUGUAGACUGUUCCUCGUACUAACACAGCGAUAUAGUGAACCUGUAGACUGUUCUUCAGCCUGUCACAGAGAUUUUGUGUACCUGUAGACUGUUCCUCAGACUAACACAGAGAUAUGGUGAACCUGUAGACUGUUCCUUGUACUAGACUGUUCCUCGUACUAACACAGAGAUAUGGUAUACCUGUAGACUGCUCUUUAGACUUACACAGAGAUAUGGUGAACCUGUAGACUGUUCCUCAGACUUAACACAGAGAUAUGGUGAACCUGUAGACUGUUCCUCGUACUUACACAGAGAUAUGGUGAACCUAUAGACUGUUCCUCAGACUAACACAGAGAUAUGGUGAACCUGUAGACUGUUCCUCGUACUUACACAGAGAUAUGGUGAACCUGUAGACUGUUCCUUGGACUAACACAGAGCUAUGGUAUACCUGUAGACUGUUCCGCGUACUAACACAGAGAUGAGGUGAACCUUUAGACUGUUCCUCGUACUAACACAGAAAUAUGGUAAACCUGUAGACUGUUCCUCGUACUAACACAGAGAUAUGGUAUACCUGUAGACUGUUCUUUAGACUUACACAGAUAUAUGAUGAACCUGUAGACUGUUCCUUGUACUAACACAGAGAUAUGGUGAACCUGUAGACUGUUCCUCGUACUAACACAGGGAUAUGGUAUACACGUACACUGUUCUUUAGACUUACACAGAGAUACGGUGAACCUGUAGACUGUUCCUCAGACUAACACAGAGAUAUGGUGAACCUGUAGACUGUUCGUUAGACACACAGAGAUAUGGUUUACCUGUAGACUGUUCUUUAGACUAACACAGAGAUAUGGUGAACCAAUAGACUGUUCCUCAGACUAACACAGAGAUAUGGUGAACCUGUAGACUGUUCUUCAGCCUGACACAGAGAUACGGUGUACAUAUAGACUGUUCCUCAGACUAACACAGAGAUAAGAUGAACAUGUAGACUGUUCCUCGUACUUACACAGAGAUAUGGUGAACCGGUAGACUGUUCCUCAUACUUACACAGAGAUAUGGUAAACCUUUACACUGUUCCUCGUACUAACACAGAGAUAUGGUGAACCUGUAGACUGUUCCUCGUACUAACACAGCGAUAUAGUGAACCUGUAGACUGUUCUUCAGCCUGUCACAGAGAUUUUGUGUACCUGUAGACUGUUCCUCAGACUAACACAGAGAUAUGGUGAACCUGUAGACUGUUCCUUGUACUAGACUGUUCCUCGUACUAACACAGAGAUAUGGUAUACCUGUAGACUGCUCUUUAGACUUACACAGAGAUAUGGUGAACCUGUAGACUGUUCCUCAGACUUAACACAGAGAUAUGGUGAACCUGUAGACUGUUCCUCGUACUUACACAGAGAUAUGGUGAACCUAUAGACUGUUCCUCAGACUAACACAGAGAUAUGGUGAACCUGUAGACUGUUCCUCGUACUAACACAGAGAUAUAGUGAACCUGUAGACUGUUCUUCAGCCUGUCACAGAGAUUUUGUGUACCUGUAGACUGUUCCUCAGACUAACACAGAGAUAUGGUGAACCUGUAGACUGUUCCUUGUACUAGACUGUUCCUCGUACUAAAACAGAGAUAUGGUAUACCUGUAGACUGCUCUUUAGACUUACACAGAGAUAUGGUGAACCUGUAGACUGUUCCUCAGACUUAACACAGAGAUAUGGUGAACCUGUAGACUGUUCCUCGUACUUACACAGAGAUAUGGUGAACCUAUAGACUGUUCCUCAGACUAACACAGAGAUAUGGUGAACCUGUAGACUGUUCCUCGUACUUACACAGAGAUAUGGUGAACCUGUAGACUGUUCCUCGGACUAACACAGAGCUAUGGUAUACCUGUAGACUGUUCCGCGUACUAACACAGAGAUAAGAUGAACAUGUAGACUGUUCCUCGUACUUACACAGAGAUAUGGUGAACCUGUAGACUGUUCCUCAUACUUACACAGAGAUAUGGUAAACCUUAAGACUGUUCCUCGUACUAACACAGAGAUAUGGUGAACCUGUAGACUGUUCCUCAUACUAACACAGAGAUAUAGUGAACCUGUAGACUGUUCUUCAGCCUGUCACAGAGAUUUGGUGUACCUGUAGACUGUUCCUCAGCUUGACAUAUAUAUGGUGAACCUGUAGACUGCUCCUCAGCCUGACACAGAGAUAUGGUGACACAGUUGUUGUUUACCAGUAGUCUGAUACAAAUAUAUGGUUAACUAGUAUACUAUUCCUCAGCUUUUUAAGGUGAACCUAUAGUUUAGAUCUACUUCCAUCUGUCACCAUCGACUGCCAACUGUAUUAUCUAACCGCCAUCUCUAACCAUCGACUGCCAACAGUAACCAUCGUCUAUCAACUGUACCAUCAAAUGCCGAAUGUAACCAUCGUCAAUCAACUGUACCAUAAAACAGCCAUCUGUAACCAUCGUCUGUCAACUACCAUCAACAGCCAUCUGUAACCAUUGUCUGUCAACUACCAUCAUCAGCCAUCUGUAACCAUUGUCUAUCAGCUGUACCUUCAAACGCAAUCUGUAACCAUCGUCUAUCAACUGUACCAUCAAAUGCCAUCUGUAACCGUUGUCUGUCAACUACCAUCAUCAGCCAUCUGUAACCAUUGUCUGUCAACUACCAUCAAACGCCAUCUGUAACCAUUGUCUGUCAACUGUACCAUCAUCAGCCGUCUGUAACCAUCGUCUAUCAACUGUACCAUGAAAUGCCAUCUGUAACCAUCGUCUAUCAACUGUACCAUCAAAUGCCAUCUGUAACCAUCGUCUAUAAACUACCAUAAAACGCCCUGUAACCAUCGUCUGUCAACUACCAUCAACAGCCAUCUGUUACCAUCGUCUAUCAACUGUACCAUCAAACGCCAUAUGUAACCAUCGUCUAUCAACUGUACCAUCAAAUGCCAUCUGUAACCAUCGUCUAUAAACUGUACCAUAAAACGCCAUCUGUAACCAUUUUCAGUAAACUACCAUCAACAGUCAUCUGUAACCAUUGUCUAUCAGCUGUACCUUCAAAUGCAAUCUGUAACCGUUGUCUAUCAACUGUACAAUCAAACGCAAUCUGUAGCCAACGUCUGUUAACUACCAUCAUCAGCCAUCUGUAACCAUCGUCUAUAAACUGUACAAUCAAAUGCCAUUUGUAACCAUCGUCUAUCAACUGCACCAUCAAAUGCCAUCCGUAACCAUUGUCUAUAAACUGUACUAUAAAACGCCAUCUGUAACCAUCGUCUGUAAACUACCAUCAACAGCCAUCUGUAACCAUUGUCUAUCAGCUUUACCUUCAAAUGCAAUCUGAAACCGUUUUCUGUCAACUGUACAAUCAAACGCAAUCUGUAACCAUCGUCUGUUAACUACCAUCAUCAGCCAUCUGUAACUAUUGUCUAUCAACUGUACAAUCAAAUGGCAUUUGUAACCAUCGUCUAUCAACUGUACCAUCAACCGCCAUCUGUAACUGUUGUCUGUCAACUGUACCAUAAAACGCCAUCUGUAACCAUCGUCUUUCAACUACCAUCAACAGCCAUCUGUAACCAUCGUCUAUCAACUGUACCAUCAAAUGCCAUAUGUAACCAUCGUCUAUCAACUGUACCAUCAAAUGCAAUCUGUAACCAUUGCAUGUCAACUACCAUCAACAGCCAUCUGUAACCAUUGUCUGUCAACUGUGCCAUCAAACGCCAUAUGUAACCAUCGUUUAUCAACUGUACCAUCAAAUGCCAUCUGUAACCAUCAUCUAUCAACUGUACCAUCAAAUGCCAUCUGUAACCAUCGUCUAUCAACUGUACCAUCAAAUGCCAUCUGUAUCCAUCGUCUAUAAACUGUACCAUAAAACGCCAUCUGUAACCAUCGUCUGUCAACUACCAUCAACAGCCAUCUGUAACCAUCGUCUAUCAACUGUACCAUCAAAUGCCAUCUGUAACCAUCGUCUAUCAACUGUACCAUAAAACGCCAUAUGUAACCAUCGUCUGUCAACUAACAUCAUCAGCCAUCUGUAACCAUUGUCUGUCAACUGUACCAUCAAAUGCCAUUUGUAACCAUCGUCUAUCAACUGUACGAUCAACCGCCAUCUGUAACCAUCGUCUGUCAACUACCAUCAACUGCCAUCUGUAACCAUCGUCUAUCAACUGUACCAUCAAACGCCAUAUGUAACCAUCGUCUAUCAACUGUACCAUCAAAUGCCAUCUGUAACCAUCGUCUAUCAACUGUACCAUUAAAUGCCAUCCGUAACCAUCGUCUAUAAACUGUACCAUAAAACGCCAUCUGUAACCAUUGUCUGUCAACUAACAUCAUCAGCCAUCUGUAACCAUUGUCUGUCAACUGUACCAUCAAAUGCCAUCUGUAACUGUUGUCUGUCAACUGUACCAUAAAACGCCAUCUGUAACCAUCGUCUUUCAACUACCAUCAACAGCCAUCUGUAACCAUCGUCUAUCAACUGUACCAUCAAAUGCCAUAUGUAACCAUCGUCUAUCAACUGUACCAUCAAAUGCAAUCUGUAACCAUUGCAUGUCAACUACCAUCAACAGCCAUCUGUAACCAUCGUCUGUCAACUGUGCCAUCAAACGCCAUAUGUAACCAUCGUUUAUCAACUGUACCAUCAAAUGCCAUCUGUAACCAUCAUCUAUCAACUGUACCAUCAAAUGCCAUCUGUAACCAUCGUCUAUCAACUGUACCAUCAAAUGCCAUCUGUAUCCAUCGUCUAUAAACUGUACCAUAAAACGCCAUCUGUAACCAUCGUCUGUCAACUACCAUCAACAGCCAUCUGUAACCAUCGUCUAUCAACUGUACCAUCAAAUGCCAUCUGUAACCAUCGUCUAUCAACUGUACCAUAAAACGCCAUAUGUAACCAUCGUCUGUCAACUAACAUCAUCAGCCAUCUGUAACCAUUGUCUGUCAACUGUACCAUCAAAUGCCAUUUGUAACCAUCGUCUAUCAACUGUACGAUCAACCGCCAUCUGUAACCAUCGUCUGUCAACUACCAUCAACUGCCAUCUGUAACCAUCGUCUAUCAACUGUACCAUCAAACGCCAUAUGUAACCAUCGUCUAUCAACUGUACCAUCAAAUGCCAUCUGUAACCAUCGUCUAUCAACUGUACCAUUAAAUGCCAUCCGUAACCAUCGUCUAUAAACUGUACCAUAAAACGCCAUCUGUAACCAUUGUCUGUCAACUAACAUCAUCAGCCAUCUGUAACCAUUGUCUGUCAACUGUACCAUCAAAUGCCAUCUGUAACCAUCGUCUAUCAACUGUACCAUCAACCGCCAUCUGUAACCAUCGUCUGUCAACUACCAUCAACAUCCAUCUGUAACCAUCGGCUAUCAACUGUACCAUCAAAUGCCAUAUGUAACCAUCGUCUAUCAACUACCAUCAAAUGCCAUAUGUAACCAUCGUCUAUCAACUGUAGCAUCAAAUGCCAUUUGUAACCAUCGUCUCUCAACUACCAUCAACAGCCAUCUGUAACCAUUGUCUAUCAGCUGUACCUUCAAAUGCAAUCUGUAACCGUUGUCUAUUUACUGUACAAUCAAAUGCCAUUUGUAACCAUCGUCUAUCAACUGUACCAUCAACCGCCAUCUGUAACUGUUGUCUGUCAACUGUACCAUCAAAUGCCAACUGUAACCAUCGUCUGUCAACUACCAUCAACAGCCAUCUGUAACCAUUGUUUAUCAACUGUACCAUCAAAUGCCAUCUGUAACCACCGUCUUGUCAACUACCAUCAACAGCCAUCUGUAACCAUCAUCUAUCAACUGUACCAUUAAAUGCCAACUGUAACCAUCGUAACAUCAACUAUACCAUCAAAUGCCAUCUGUAACCAUCGUCUUUAAACUGUACCAUAAAACGCCAUCUGUAACCAUCGUCUGUCAACUACCAUCAACAGCCAUCUGUAACCAUCGUCUAUCAACUGUACCAUCAAAUGCCAUCUGUAACCAUCGUUUAUCAACUGUACCAUAAAACGCCAUAUGUAACCAUCGUCUGUCAACUAACAUCAUCAGCCAUCUGUAACCAUUGUCUGUCAACUGUACCAUCAAAUGCCAUCUGUAAUCAUCGUCUAUCAACUGUACCAUCAACCGCCAUCUGUAACCAUCGUCUGUCAACUACCAUCAACAGCCAUCUGUAACCAUCGUCUAUCAACUGUACCAUCAAACGCCAUAUGUAACCAUCAUCUAUCAACUGUACCAUCAAAUGCCAUCUGUAACCAUCCUCUAUCAACUGUACCAUCAAAUGCCAUCCGUAACCAUCGUCUAUAAACUGUACCAUAAAACGCCAUCUGUAACCAUUGUCUGUCAACUAACAUCAUCAGCCAUCUGUAACCAUUGUCUGUCAACUGUACCAUCAAAUGCCAUCUGUAACCAUCAUCUAUCAACUGUACCAUCAACCGCCAUCUGUAACCAUCGUCUGUUAACUACCAUCAACCGCCAUCUGUAACCAUUGGCUAUCAACUGUACCAUCAAACGCCAUAUGUAACCAUCGUCUAUCAACUACCAUCAAAUGCCAUAUGUAACCAUCGUCUAUCAACUGUACCUUCAAAUGCAAUCUGUAACCAUCGUCUAGAAACUGUACCAUAAAACGCCAUUUGUAACCAUCGUCUGUCAACUACAAUCAACAUCCAUCUGUAACCAUUGUCUAUCAGCUGUACCUUCAAAUGCAAUCUGUAACCGUUGUCUAUCAACUGUACAAUCAAAUGCAAUCUGUAACCGUUGUCUAUCAACUGUACAAUCAAAUGCCAUUGGUAACCAUCGUCUAUCAACUGUACCAUCAACCGCCAUCUGUAACUGUUGUCUGUCAACUGUACCAUCAAAUGCCAACUGUAACCACCGUCUGUCAACUACCAUCAACAGCCAUCUGUAACCAUUGUCUGUCAACUAACAUCAUCAGCCAUUUGUAACCAUUGUCUGUCAACUGUACCAUCAAAUGCCAUCUGUAACCAUCGUCUAUCAACUGUACCAUCAACCGCCAUCUGUAACCAUCGUCUGUUAACUACCAUCAACCGCCAUCUGUAACCAUUGGCUAUCAACUGUACCAUCAAACGCCAUAUGUAACCAUCGUCUAUCAACUACCAUCAAAUGCCAUAUGUAACCAUCGUCUAUCAACUGUAACAUCAAAUGCCAUCUGUAACCAUCGUCUAGAAACUGUACCAUAAAACGCCAUUUGUAACCAUCGUCUGUCAACUACCAUCAACAGCCAUCUGUAACCAUUGUCUAUCAGCUGUACCUUCAAAUGCAAUCUGUAACCGUUGUCUAUCAACUGUACAAUCAAAUGCCAUUGGUAACCAUCGUCUAUCAACUGUACCAUCAACAGCCAUCUGUAACCAUUGUCUAUCAACUGUACCAUCAAAUGCCAUCUGUAACCACCGUCUGUCAACUACCAUCAACAGCCAUCUGUAACCACCGUCUGUCAACUACCAUCAACAGCCAUCUGUAACCAUCGUGUCAACUGUACCAUCAAAUGCCAUCUGUAUUCA